rnacentral:rRNA from 1 species
CCUACGGGUGGCUGCAGUGGGGAAUAUUGGACAAUGGGGGCAACCCUGAUCCAGCCAUGCCGCGUGUGUGAAGAAGGCCCUCGGGUUGUAAAGCACUUUCAGUGAGGAAGAACGCCUGGUGGUUAAUACCCAUCAGGUAAGACAUCACUCACAGAAGAAGCACCGGCUAACUCCGUGCCAGCAGCCGCGGUAAUACGGAGGGUGCGAGCGUUAAUCGGAAUUACUGGGCGUAAAGCGCGCGUAGGUGGCUUGAUAAGCCGGUUGUGAAAGCCCCGGGCUCAACCUGGGAACGGCAUCCGGAACUGUCAAGCUAGAGUGCAGGAGAGGAAGGUAGAAUUCCCGGUGUAGCGGUGAAAUGCGUAGAGAUCGGGAGGAAUACCAGUGGCGAAGGCGGCCUUCUGGACUGACACUGACACUGAGGUGCGAAAGCGUGGGUAGCAAACAGGAUUAGAUACCCUAGUAGUC